rnacentral:misc_RNA from 1 species
GAAAUGUUAUGUCAGUUGCUGUUGUUUCUAUUAAUUUUGCUAUCAUUUCAUUAAUUAGCAUAACUGCAUACUGUUAUUGAGUCCUGGCUGGGCAGUAGACCAGUGGUCAUUAUACUUGCCCUUGAAUAUUGGCAAUAGUUUUAAGGUUGAGGUCCUACAAACAACAGUUUGAAGGUGUUAUUCUCACUCAUGUCAGGUUCUUAUUCAGGUGAUAUCUGGUUGUUUAUUUGAUUAUUUGUGCAAAUAUACUUUCUCAUUG